rnacentral:misc_RNA from 1 species
UCCGGCUUGUCACCGGCAGUCCCUCUAGAGUGCCCAACUAAAUGAUGGCAACUAAAGGCGAGGGUUGCGCUCGUUGCGGGACUUAACCCAAUAUCUCACGACACGAGCUGACGACAGCCAUGCAGCACCUGUGCUGGCCACCCUUGCGGGUUCAUUGCCGUUUCCGGUUCUUACUACCAGCAUGUCAAACCUGGGUAAGGUUCUUCGCGUUGCGUCGAAUUAAACCACAUGCACCACCGCUUGUGCGGGCCCCCGUCAAUUUCUUUGAGUUUUAAUCUUGCGACCGUACUUCCCAGGCGGCACGUUUAACGCGUUAGCUUCGCCACAAAAGGGGUCGAUUCCUUUUACAGCAAACGUGCACCGUUUAGGGCUAGGACUAC